rnacentral:rRNA from 1 species
GAGCACGUAGGUGGGUUUGUAAGUCAGAUGUGAAAGCCUUCUGUUCAACGGAAGAAUUGCAUCUGAAACUGCGAGUCCUGAGUGUAGGAGGGGAGAAUGGAACUUCUGGUGGAGCGGUGAAAUGCGUAGAUAUCAGAAGGAACGCCGGCGGCGAAAGCGAUUCUCUGGCCUAUUACUGACACUCAGUGUGCGAAAGCUAGGGGAGCAAACGGGAUUAGAUACCCCGGUAGUCCUAGCCGUAAACGAUGGGCACUAAGUAGAGGGAAUUACCGAUGUUCUCUCUGCCGUAGCUAACGCAUUAAGUGCCCCGCCUGGGGAGUACGGCCGCAAGGCUAAAACUCAAAAGAAUUGACGGGGGCUCGCACAAGCGGUGGAGCAUGUGGCUUAAUUCGAUGCAACGCGAAAAACCUUACCGGGGCUUGACAUGGUAGAAGUAGGAACCCGAAAGGGUAACGAACGGUAUCCAGUCCGUAGCUAUUACAGGUGUUGCAUGGCUGUCGUCAGCUCGUGUCGUGAGACGUUGGGUUAAGUCCCCCUAACGAGCGAAACCCUUAUUCUUAGUUACCAGCGGGUUGUGCCGGGUACUCUAGAAAGACUGCCGUCGUCAAGACGGAGGAAGGUGGGGAUGACGUCAAGUCAUCAUGGCCCUUAUGCCCCGGGCUGCACACGUGCUACAAUGGUCGGUACAAACGGAUGCGAAGCCGAGAGGUGAAGCGAAUCC